rnacentral:rRNA from 1 species
GACGAACGCUGGCGGCGUGCCUAACACAUGCAAGUCGAGCGGAGACAGUUGGAAGCUUGCUUUUGGCUGUUUUAGCGGCGGACGGGUGAGUAACGCGUGAGCAACCUCUCUCUCAGUGGGGAAUAACACAGGGAAACUUGUACUAAUACCGCAUGGGACCACGGCCUGGCAUCGGGCUGGGGUGAAAGAUUUAUCGCUGAGAGGUGGGCUCGCGUCCGAUUAGGUAGUUGGUGAGGUAACGGCCCACCAAGCCGACGAUCGGUAGCCGACCUGAGAGGGUGAUCGGCCACAUUGGGACUGAGACACGGCCCAAACUCCUACGGGAGGCAGCAGUGGGGAAUAUUGGGCAAUGGGGGGAACCCUGACCCAGCAACGCCGCGUGGAGGAAGAAGGUUUUCGGAUCGUAAACUCCUGUCCUCAGGGAAGAGCAGAAGACGGUACCUGAGGAGGAAGCCCCGGCUAACUACGUG